UACGUAGGGGGCAAGCGUUGGUCCGGAUUUAUUGGGCGUAAAGAGCGCGUAGGCGGCCCUGUAAGUCCGCUGUGAAAGUCAAGGGCUCAACCCUUGAAUGCCGAUGGAUACUGCAGGGCUAGAGUCCGGAAGAGGCGAGUGGAAUCCUGGUGUAGCGGUGGAAUGCGCAGGAUAUCAGGAGGAACACCAAUAGCGAAGGCAGCUCGCUGGGACGGUACUGACGCUAAGGCGCGAAAGCGUGGGGAGCGAACAGG
rnacentral:rRNA from 1 species